AGGGAUUCAUCUUCUGAGAGCUGCUGUCCAACCUGCACUCGCGUGGGAACCAGAAGACACUCGUGCAGGAGUCGGCAGAGCAGGCACAAUGGCGCGACGAGUUGCUGCUUCUCAGAUCUCCUGUCCAACCUGUACUUGCGUGGGAACGAGAAGACACUCCUGGAGGAGUCGGAAGAGCGGGCAGACCAAGGAGUUCAUCUUCUCGGAACCGCUGUCCAACCUGUACUCGCGUGGGAAUGAGUAGACACUCUGGAGGAGUUGGCAGAGCGGGCAGACCAAGGAGUUCAUCUUCUCGGAGCUGCUGUCCAACAUGUACUCGCGUGGGAACGAGAAGACACUCCUGUAGGAGUCGACAGAGCAGGCCGACCAAGGAGUUCAUCUUCUCGGAGCUGCUGUCCAACCUGUACUCGCGUGGGAACGAGAAGACACUCGUGGAGUAGUUGGCAGAGCAGGCAGUCCAAGGAGUUCAUCUUCUCGGAGCUGCUGUCCAACCUGUACUCGCGUGGGAACGAGCAGACACUCCUGGAGGAGUCGGCAGAGCAGGCCGACCAAGGAGUUCAUCUUCUCAGAGCUGCUGUCCAACCUGUACUCGCGUGGGAAUGAGAAGACACUCCUGGAGGAGUCGGCAGAGCAGGCACAGUGGCGCGACGAGAUGCUGCUUCUCAGAGCUGCUGUCCAACUUGUACUCGCGUGGGAACGAGAAGACACUCUUGGAGGAGUUGGCAGAGCAGGCAGACCAAGGAGUGCAUCUUCUCAGAGCUGCUGUCCAAUCUGUACUCGCGUGGGAAUGAGAAGACUCUCCUGGAGGAUUCGGCAGAGCAGGCAGACCAAGGAGUUCAUCUUCUCGGAGCUACUGUCCAACAUGUACUCGCAUGGGAAUGAGAAGACACUCCUGGAGGAGUCGGCAGAGCAGGCAGACCAAGGAAUUCAUCUCCUCGGAGCUGCUGUCCCACCUGCACUCGCGUGGGAACCAGAAGACACUCGUGGAGGAGUCGACAGAGCAGGCACACCAAGGAGUUGAUGCUUCUCAGAGCUGCUGUCCAACCUGUACUCGCGUGGGAACGGGAAGACACUCCUGGAGGAGUCGGCAAAGCAGGCAGACCAAGGAAUUCAUCUUCUCGGAGCUGCUGUCCAACCUGCACUCGCGUGGGAACCAGAAGACACUCGUGGAGGAGUCGGCAGAGCAGGCAGACCAAGGAGUUCAUCUUCUCAUCGCUGCUGGCCAACCUGUACUCCCGUGGGAACGAGCAGACCCUCCUGGAGGAGUCGGCAGAGCAGGCAGAACCAGGAAUUCAUCUUCUCGGAGCUGCUGUCCAACGUGUACUCGCGUGGGAACGAGAAGACACUCCUGGAGGAGGCGACAGGGUAGGCAGACCAAGGAGUUCAUUUUCUGGGAGCUGCUGUACAACCUGUACUCGCGUGGGAACGAGAAGACACUCCAGGAGGAGUCGACAGAGCAGGCAGACCAAGGAGUUCAUCUUCUCGGAGCUGCUGUCCAACCUCUACUCGCGUGGGAACGAGCAGACACUCCUGGAGGAGUCGGCAGAGCAGGCAGACCAGGGAGUUCAUCUUCUCGGAGCUGCUGUCCAACCUGUACUCGCGUGGGAACGAGAAGACACUCCUGGAGGAGUCGGCAGAGCAGGCAGACCAAGGAAUUCAUCUUCUCGCAGCUGCUGUCCCACCUGCACUCGCGUGGGAACCAGAAGACACUCGUGGAGGAGUCGACAGAGCAGGCAGACCAAGGAGUUCAUCUUCUCAGAGCUGCUGUCCAACCUGUACUCGCGUGGGAUGGAGCAGACACUCCUGGAGGAGUCGGCAAAGCAGGCAGACCAAGGAAUUCGUCUUCUGAGAGCUGCUGUCCAACCUGCACUCGCGUGGGAACCAGAAGACACUCGUGCAGGAGUCGGCAGAGCAGGCACAGUGGCGCGACGAGAUGCUGCUUCUCAGAGCUGCUGUCCAACCUGUACUCACGUGGGAAUGAGCAGACACUCCUGGAGGAGUCGGCAGAGCAGGCAGACCAAGGAAUUCAUCUUCUCAGAGCUGCUGUCCAACCUGUGCUCG
rnacentral:lncRNA from 1 species